AAUCUGCCCUCAGGAGGGGGAUAACGGUUGGAAACGACCGCUAAUACCCCAUAUGCCUACUGGUGAAAUGAAUUUCGCCUGAGGAUGAGCUCGCGUCUGAUUAGCUAGUUGGUGAGGUAAUGGCUCACCAAGGCUUCGAUCAGUAGCUGGUCUGAGAGGAUGAUCAGCCACACUGGGACUGAGACACGGCCCAGACUCCUACGGGAGGCAGCAGUGGGGAAUUUUCCGCAAUGGGCGAAAGCCUGACGGAGCAACGCCGCGUGAGGGACGAAGGCCUCUGGGCUGUAAACCUCUUUUCUCAAGGAAGAAGAUAUGACGGUACUUGAGGAAUAAGCCACGGCUAAUUCCGUGCCAGCAGCCGCGGUAAUACGGGAGUGGCAAGCGU
rnacentral:rRNA from 1 species